AAUCUGUUUCAUUCAAUGCUUCAGCCAUUCUUGAUCAAUUCUUCAUCAGCCAGACUUGUAACUACAGUAUCAUAUGACCACUGAUCCAGAGCAUAUUUUCUACAGUGUUUAUAUUUACUUACAUGUAAGAUUGGCUUGUUAAGAAAUUGAACUGCAUCCUUCUCAUAUUAAUUCUUACAAGUCUGGCAGAUGAAUAAUUGAUCAAGACUGGCUGAUGAAGCAUUGAACGAAACAGAUU